rnacentral:rRNA from 1 species
GGAAUAUUGGGCAAUGGAGGAAACUCUGACCCAGCAACGCCGCGUGAAGGAUGAAGGUCCUCGGAUUGUAAACUUCUGUCCUUGGGGAAAAAUAAAUGAUGGUACCCAAGAAGAAAACCCCGGCAAACUACGUGCCAGCAGCCGCGGUGAUACGUAGGGGGUAAGCGUUGUCCGGAAUGACUGGGCGUAAAGGGAGUGUAGGCGGUUUAUCAAGUUGAAAGUGAAAGCCCGGGGCUUAACUCCGGAACUGCUUUCAAAACUGGUUGACUAGAGUGUGGGAGAGGUAAGUGGAAUUCCUAGUGUAGCGGUGGAAUGCGUAGAUAUUAGGAGGAACAUCAGAGGCGAAGGCGACUUACUGGAACAUAACUGACGCUGAGGCUCGAAAGCGUGGGGAGCAAACA